rnacentral:rRNA from 1 species
CAUCGAGACUCCUACGGGAGGCAGCAGUGGGGAAUAUUGCACAAUGGGGGAAACCCUGAUGCAGCCAUGCCGCGUGUGUGAAGAAGGCCUUCGGGUUGUAAAGCACUUUCAGUAGGGAGGAAGGUAGUGUAGUUAACACCUGCAUUAUUUGACGUUACCUACAGAAGAAGCACCGGCUAACUCCGUGCCAGCAGCCGCGGUAAUACGGAGGGUGCGAGCGUUAAUCGGAAUUACUGGGCGUAAAGCGCAUGCAGGCGGCCUGUUAAGUCAGAUGUGAAAGCCCCGGGGCUUAACCUCGGAAUUGCAUUUGAAACUGGCAGGCUAGAGUCUUGUAGAGGGGGUAGAAUUUCAGGUGUAGCGGUGAAAUGCGUAGAGAUCUGAAGGAAUACCAGUGGCGAAGGCGGCCCCCUGGACAAAGACUGACGCUCAGAUGCGAAAGCGUGGGGAGCAAACAGGAUUAGAUACCCUGGUAG